CAUGAAAGAAUGUAGAAAGUUGCGUUUGCAACGCUUUUGGAUGAGGGUGCGACGUAUCAGAUAGUUGGUGAGGUAACGGCUCACCAAGUCAUUGACGCGUAGCUGUACUGAGAGGUAGAACAGCCACAAUGGGACUGAGACACGGCCCAUACUCCUACGGGAGGCAGCAGUAGGGAAUUUUUCACAAUGGGCGAAAGCCUUAUGAAGCAAUGCCGCGUGAACGAUGAAGGUCUAUAAGAUUGUAAAGUUCUUUUAUUUGGGAAGAACCACUAAAAUAGGAAAUGAUUUUAGUUUGACUGUACCAUUUGAAUAAGUAUCGGCUAACUAUGUGCCAGCAGCCGCGGUAAUACAUAGGAUGCAAGCGUUAUCCGGAUUUACUGGGCGUAAAACGAGCGCAGGCGGAUUUGUAAGUUUGGUAUGAAAUCUAGAUGCUUAACGUCUAGCUGUAUCAAAAACUACGAAUCUAGAGUGUAGCAGAGAGUUGGGGAACUCCAUGUGGAGCGGUAAAAUGCGUAGAUAUAUGGAAGAACACCGGUGGCGAAGGCGCCAACUUGGACUAUUACUGACGCUUAGGCUCGAAAGUGUGGGGAUCAAAUAGGA
rnacentral:rRNA from 1 species